AGAUUGAACGCUGGCGGCAUGCCUUACACAUGCAAGUCGAACGGUAGAGUAGCAAUACUCGAGAGUGGCGAACGAGUGAGUAAUAUAUCGGAACGUGCCCAGUCGUGGGGGGAUAACGUAGAGAAAUUUACGCUAAUACCGCAUACGAUCUAAGGAUGAAAGCGGGGGACUCGCAAGAGCCUCGCGCGAUUGGAGCGGCUGAUAUCAGGUUAGGUUGUUGGUGAGGUAAAAAGCUCACCAAGCCGACGAUCUGUAGCUGGUUUGAGAGAACGACCAGCCACACUGGGACUGAGACACGGCCCAGACUCCUACGGGAGGCAGCAGUGGGAAUUUUGGACAAUGGGCGAAAGCCUGAUCCAGCAAUGCCGCGUGCAGGAAGAAGGCCUGGUUGUAACGUAGUACGUUUGUACGGUAACGAAAGGUACGUAGUCCUAACGUACGACGG
rnacentral:rRNA from 1 species